AGUGAACGCUGGCGGUAGGCCUAACACAUGCAAGUCGAACGGCAGCACAGUAAGAGCUUGCUCUUACGGGUGGCGAGUGGCGGACGGGUGAGGAAUACAUCGGAAUCUACUUUUUCGUGGGGGAUAACGUAGGGAAACUUACGCUAAUACCGCAUACGACCUACGGGUGAAAGCAGGGGAUCUUCGGACCUUGCGCGAUUGAAUGAGCCGAUGUCGGAUUAGCUAGUUGGCGGGGUAAAGGCCCACCAAGGCGACGAUCCGUAGCUGGUCUGAGAGGAUGAUCAGCCACACGGGAACUGAGACACGGUCCAGACUCCUACGGGAGGCAGCAGUGGGGAAUAUUGGACAAUGGGCGCAAGCCUGAUCCAGCCAUACCGCGUGGGUGAAGAAGGCCUUCGGGUUGUAAAGCCCUUUUGUUGGGAAAGAAAAGCAGCAGGUUAAUACCCCGCUGUUCUGGCGGUACCCAAAGAAUAAGCACCGGCUAACUUCGUG
rnacentral:rRNA from 1 species